rnacentral:pre_miRNA from 1 species
AAAAAAGACAAACACUGGUUUCCGUGUCCAACGUUUGACCGUCCGUCUUAUUUAAAAAAAUUAUGAAAAAAUUUAAAAAGACAAGUCACGUAUAAAAUAUUAAUCAUAUUUUAUCAUCCAACAACAAUGAAAAUACGAAUUAUAAAAAAAUUUCAUAUAAAACGGACAGUCAAAGUUGGACACGAAAACCCAGGGUUUGUCUUUUU